GUUGCUGGCCUCUAGGGGCAUGUGCACGCUUCACUAGUCUUUCAACCACCUGUGAACUUUUGAUAGAUCUGUGAAGUCGUCUCUCAAGUCGUUAGACUUGGUUUGCUGGGAUGUAAACGUCUCGGUGUGACUACGCAGUCUAUUUACUUAUAACACCCCAAAUGUAUGUCUACGAAUGUCAUUUAAAGGGCCUUGUGCCUAUAAACCAUAAUACAACUUUCAACAACGGAUCUCUUGGCUCUCGCAUCGAUGAAGAACGCAGCGAAAUGCGAUAAGUAAUGUGAAUUGCAGAAUUCAGUGAAUCAUCGAAUCUUUGAACGCACCUUGCGCCCCUUGGUAUUCCGAGGGGCAUGCCUGUUUGAGUGUCAUUAAAUUCUCAAACUCACUCUGGUUUUUCCAAUUGUGAUGUUUGGAUUGUUGGGGGCUGCUGGCCUUGACAGGUCGGCUCCUCUUAAAUGCAUUAGCAGGACUUCUCAUUGCCUCUGCGCAUGAUGUGAUAAUUAUCACUCAUCAAUAGCACGCAUGAAUAGAGUCUGGCUCUCUAACCGUCCGCAAGGACAAUUUGACAAUUUGACCUCAAAUCAGGUAGGACUACCCGCUGAACUUAAGCAUA
rnacentral:rRNA from 1 species